rnacentral:rRNA from 1 species
CAGCCGCGCGGGAAUACGAAGGGUGCAAGCGUUACUCGGAAUUACUGGGCGUAAAGCGUGCGUAGGUGGUUCGUUAAGUCUGAUGUGAAAGCCCUGGGCUCAACCUGGGAAUUGCAUUGGAUACUGGCGAGCUAGAGUGCGGUAGAGGGUAGUGGAAUUCCCGGUGUAGCAGUGAAAUGCGUAGAGAUCGGGAGGAACAUCUGUGGCGAAGGCGACUGCCUGGACCAGCACUGACACUGAGGCACGAAAGCGUGGGGAGCAAACAGGAUUAGAUACCCCCGUAGUCCCUGUCUCUUAUACA